rnacentral:rRNA from 1 species
UACGGAGGGUGCAAGCGUUGCUCGGAAUUAUUGGGCGUAAAGGGUAGGUAGGUGGUCUUAUUUGUCUGGGGUGAAAGCCUUGAGCUUAACUCAAGAAGUGCCCCAGAAACGGUGAGACUAGAGUCCUAGAGAGGGUCGUGGAAUUCCCGGUGUAGCGGUGAAAUGCGUAGAGAUCGGGAGGAACACCAGAGGCGAAGGCGGCGACCUGGAUAGGUACUGACACUCAACUACGAAAGCGUGGGGAGCAAACAGG